CGGGUGAUGUCUAGUGGUUAUGACACAACUCCCUAAUGGAUGAAACGUGAGUUCGAUUCUCUCUCACUCGU
rfam:Edhazardia aedis TSNM 41457 supercont1.17, whole genome shotgun sequence.